GUUGUCAUUGUCAUUAUUACUUGUGCCAUCAUAGCUAACCUGCCUGGCUCCCGGGCCCUGAGCCCCUCUCCGUCCAUUCUCCAUGCAGCUCAGCAGGGUGUGGUGCUGGGCAUAACUGCCGCCCUCCCUCGAGCUUCCUGCGAUCUUCUACCCCUUGGGUUCGCUCUGACCUUCUUCUCGCUGCCCCUGCCCUGCCCUCCCCUCCCAGCAGCCCUCCUGGGGCGGUUUUCACAGCCCUGUGCAUCUGGCGCCCACUGGGCCGGGCUCCGGUGCCUGACUUCAGCCAGCGGCCCAGCCAGCACAGCUCUCCUUCCCGUGGCCAGUGCCCGACACGGAUCUGCCAGAUAUCCCACCCGAACUGCCUACCUUUCCUGGACGCCGUCACCCCGCCAGGCUCGGCUGGAAUCGGACUCUGUUCCUACCCAGGUGCCACCCAGGGAUGAUAAUGGUGAUUUUAUUGCUGCUCGUGGCUAUUGUGGUGGUUGCGGUCUGGCCUACCAGCUAGUGGCAAUAACGGGGCCACCAGCUGGACUCCUGCCGGCGACGGAGAAAAGCUCAGCACCUUUUGAUACACGGAAGCUGCUCUCAAUAAAUCCCCUCAAAGCUCUGAA